UACGGAGGAUGCUAGCGUUAUCCGGAUUUACUGGGCGUAAAGGGUCCGUAGGUGGCCUUUCAAGUCGGUGGUUAAAGGCUACGGCUCAACAGAAUUAAGCCGCCGAAACUGGAAGACUUGAGUGCAGGAGAGGAAAGUGGAAUUCCCAGUGUAGCGGUGAAAUGCGUAGAUAUUGAGAAGAACACCAGUAGCGAAGGCGGCUUUCUGGACUGUAACUGACACUGAGGCACGAAAGCGUGGGUAGCAAAUGGG
rnacentral:rRNA from 1 species